AGUCAUGUCAAUUUGGAAGCUUACAUCAACGGAAGAGGAGCUGGAUGCUGCAGCAGAGGCGCUGAACACUAGGUUAAGUAAUCUUUAGUUCACUUCAAUUUUACUGGCAAUUGUACCAACUACUCCCUUACUGGAAUACUACAUGGAAUGUCCCUACCUACCAAUUUAUAAAAGAAAAAUAUAUUUUAAAACCAUGCUUGAUUAGGUAUAUCAGCAACUGAACAUAGUUUAAUGGUGGUUUACAACCGUAAAGAAACAAUGUAAAAGAACACUCUCAAAACAAUAGGCAAGAUUAAAGAACAAUAGAUAAUCUAUGUAGACAGACAACGUGCCACUGUCUAUAAAAGCUCCACGUCUAUACACUAAAAGGUAAUAUAUUGAAUGCUCUGCCAAAAAGUAACUUUAAUAAUAGCGAUAAAUUCCUUAGGUACAGAUAGGAUACAAAAAAGGAACAGAUGGAUUUGAGAAAAAACAGGGACUUGUCCUUCAUAUAUAUGUUAAAUGUAAAAAGCACCAUUCAAUACUUGUAAGUAUUGACCUCUAUGUGGAGCACACAAUGGGC